rnacentral:rRNA from 1 species
AUAUAAGCGUGAAGCCUACCGCAAAACUAGAUAUCCCAUGAGGUACCUCGAAGACUACGAGGUUGAUAGGCCGGAAGUGUAAGUGCAGUGAUGUAUUCAGCUGACCGGUACUAAUUUGCCGAUUGGCUUGACUGU